UACGGGGGGGGCAAGCGUUGUUCGGAAUUACUGGGCGUAAAGGGCUCGUAGGCGGCCAACUAAGUCGGACGUGAAAUCCCCAGGCUCAACCUGGGAACUGCGUCCGAUACUGGAUGGCUUGAAUCCGGGAGAGGGAUGCAGAAUUCCAGGUGUAGCGGUGAAAUGCGUAGAUAUCUGGAGGAAUACCGGUGGCGAAGGCGGUUCUCUGGGCCUUACCUGACACUGAGGAGCGAAAGCGUGGGGAGCGAACAGG
rnacentral:rRNA from 1 species